rnacentral:rRNA from 1 species
UACGUAGGGGGCGAGCGUUGUCCGGAUUUAUUGGGCGUAAAGAGCUCGUAGGCGGUUUGGCAAGUCGGGUGUGAAAACUCCGGGCUCAACCCGGAGACGCCAUCUGAUACUGCGGUGACUGGAGUCUGGUAGGGGAACACGGAAUUCCUGGUGUAGCGGUGAAAUGCGCAGAUAUCAGGAGGAACACCGAUGGCGAAGGCAGUGUUCUGGGCCAGUACUGACGCUGAGGAGCGAAAGCGUGGGGAGCAAACAGG